rnacentral:tRNA from 1 species
AACGAUAUAGUUAAAGUUAUAAUAAUAGAUUGUCAAUUUAUAGUUGCUUAAUUAUAGCUAUCGUUU